AAGCAAUGGCUGCUGCGAAGUCCGAUGAAGCAAAGGAUAACUUUAGGAAAAAGGCCUGCAAGUACUACUAAUGGUGCCAGCAAUGCUGCAGCAAAGAAGGGCCGUGGAACUGGUGGUUUGCAGAACCAGCUUGUUAACAGGGCAUUGGAAGGUUUAUCUCGUGGUGGAAGAAGUGGUAUGAGGAGCAGAGGGUGGGGAGGACGUGGACGAGGAAGGAGCUACUGGUAGCUUUGAUUCCCACCCAUAUUGUGUAACAGAACCAUCAGAACAAUGGAGUUAGUAUGAAUCAGUAGAAUAGGAACAAGAGUCAUUGAUGUAUUAAAACUCUCUUCUAUUGGGACAAUUUUUAUAUAUAUAUAUAGGGGCAGAUAAUGAGUUUUUAGAUUCAAUGAGGACCAACACUGGAUAGGGUUCUGCAGGAGCUGCUCUACUUUGACAGGCUCCAGAGGACUCGAGGCCCGGUUUCUCAAUCCUUUCUAAUUUUGCCCAUUAGAACCACCGUUGGUUAGAAAAUUUGUACAUGGCUGUUGUUAAAAAUCUUUGAAUAUUUGCCUUUUGCAUGUACAUGUGGGAAAGGGGAUAAAUUUAGCUUUAAGAGCUAGAUUCUUCAAAUUUGAUAAAAUAGCCUUAAUUUGUUUGUUGAGAAAGAAAUUUUUUAUCUAUGUGGAACAUUCAUGUAUAAAGGAAAGAAGACCUGAGUAUGCAUCUUCAAACAUUAUCAUCCUGCAGUGCAUGAAUCAACUAUCCUUGCAGUUCACAAAGUUGAGUGUUAGUACACAAUUGCAUUCAGCCUCCUUCGUUUCUGGUCUUUUGAGACCAUUGGGUUCUAUUUGUAUCAAAUGAUAUAUUAAGCUUAGUAAUACUUACAUUAUUUCAAUGUUGUAAUGACAUAUUGCUUAUUGCGAGUUUCAUAUUAUCUUUA